rnacentral:rRNA from 1 species
UGGGAAACUGCCUGAUGGAGGGGGAUAACUACUGGAAACGGUAGCUAAUACCGCAUGACCUCGCAAGAGCAAAGUGGGGGACCUUCGGGCCUCACGCCAUCGGAUGUGCCCAGAUGGGAUUAGCUAGUAGGUGGGGUAAUGGCUCACCUAGGCGACGAUCCCUAGCUGGUCUGAGAGGAUGACCAGCCACACUGGAACUGAGACACGGUCCAGACUCCUACGGGAGGCAGCAGUGGGGAAUAUUGCACAAUGGGCGCAAGCCUGAUGCAGCCAUGCCGCGUGUGUGAAGAAGGCCUUAGGGUUGUAAAGCACUUUCAGCGAGGAGGAAGGGUUCAGUGUUAAUAGCACUGAUCAUUGACGUUACUCGCAGAAGAAGCACCGGCUAACUCCGUGCCAGCAGCCGCGGUAAUACGGAGGGUGCAAGCGUUAAUCGGAAUUACUGGGCGUAAAGCGCACGCAGGCGGUUUGUUAAGUCAGAUGUGAAAUCCCCGAGCUUAACUUGGGAACUGCAUUUGAAACUGGCAAGCUAGAGUCUUGUAGAGGGGGGUAGAAUUCCAGGUGUAGCGGUGAAAUGCGUAGAGAUCUGGAGGAAUACCGGUGGCGAAGGCGGCCCCCUGGACAAAGACUGACGCUCAGGUGCGAAAGCGUGGGGGAGCAAACAGGAUUAGAUACCCUGGUAGUCCACGCUGUAAACGAUGUCGACUUGUAUGUUGUGCCCUUGAGGCGUGGGCUUCCCGGAUCUAAACGCGUU